rnacentral:rRNA from 1 species
GACGAACGCUGGCGGCGUGCUUAACACAUGCAAGUCGAACGGAAAGGCCCUGCUUUUGUGGGGUGCUCGAGUGGCGAACGGGUGAGUAACACUUGAGUAACCUGCCCUUGACUUUGGGAUAACUUCAGGAAACUGAGGCUAAUACCGGAUAGAAGCUCCUGCUGCAUGUUGGUGGUUGGAAAGUUUCGUCGGUUGGGGAUGGACUCGCGGCUUAUCAGCUUGUUGGUGGGGUAGUGGCUUACCAAGGCUUUGACGGGUAGCCGGCCUGAGAGGGUGACCGGCCACAUUGGGACUGAGAUACGGCCCAGACUCAUACGGGAGGCAGCAGUGGGGAAUAUUGCACAAUGGGCGGAAGCCUGAUGCAGCAACGCCGCGUGCGGGAUGACGGCCUUCGGGUUGUAAACCGCUUUCGCCUGUGACGAAGCGUGAGUGACGGUAAUGGGUAAAGAAGCACCGGCUAACUACGUG